CUGCCUAUUAGUGGGGGACAACGUUCCGAAAGGAGCGCUAAUACCGCAUACGUCCUACGGGAGAAAGCAGGGGACCUUUGGGCCUUGCGCUAAUAGAUGAGCCUAAGUCGGAUUAGCUAGUUGGUAGGGUAAAGGCCUACCAAGGCGACGAUCUGUAGCGGGUCUGAGAGGAUGAUCCGGCCACACUGGGACUGAGACACGGCCCAGACUCCUACGGGAGGCAGCAGUGGGGAAUAUUGGACAAAUGGGGGGAACCCUGAUCCAGCCAUGCCGCGUGUGUGAAGAAGGCCUUUUGGUUGUAAAGCACUUUAAGCGAGGAGGAGGCUACCUAGAUUAAUACUUUAGGAUAGUGGACGUUACUCGCAGAAUAAGCACCGGCUAACUCUGUGCCAGCAGCCGCGGUAAUACAGAGGGUGCGAGCGUUAAUCGGAUUUACUGGGCGUAAAGCGUGCGUAGGCGGCCAAUUAAGUCAAAUGUGAAAUCCCCGAGCUUAACUUGGGAAUUGCAUUCGAUACUGGUUGGCUAGAGUAUGGGAGAGGAUGGUAGAAUUCCAGGUGUAGCGGUGAAAUGCGUAGAGAUCUGGAGGAAUACCGAUGGCGAAGGCAGCCAUCUGGCCUAAUACUGACGCUGAGGUACGAAAGCAUGGGGAGCAAACAGGAUUAGA
rnacentral:rRNA from 1 species